rnacentral:ncRNA from 12 species
CUCUAUUGAGGAUAGAACAGGCAGCUAUCACACCUAAGUGGUCUUUUGAGAGAUGCAGGAGUGCCGACCUGCCAAUAGAG